rnacentral:rRNA from 1 species
UGGCGGCAGGCCUAACACAUGCAAGUCGAGCGGUAACAUUUCUAGCUUGCUAGAAGAUGACGAGCGGCGGACGGGUGAGUAACGCGUAGAAAUCUACCUAGUAGUGGGGGAUAGCCCAGAGAAAUUUGGAUUAAUACCGCAUACGCCCUACGGGGGAAAGCGGGGGAUCUUCGGACCUCGUGCUAUUAGAUGAGUCUGCGUCGGAUUAGCUUGUUGGUGAGGUAAUGGCUCACCAAGGCGACGAUCCGUAGCUGGUCUGAGAGGAUGACCAGCCACACUGGAACUGAGACACGGUCCAGACUCCUACGGGAGGCAGCAGUAGGGAAUAUUGCACAAUGGGCGCAAGCCUGAUGCAGCCAUGCCGCGUGUGUGAAGAAGGCCUUAGGGUUGUAAAGCACUUUCAGCAGUGAGGAAAGGGGUGUCGUUAAUAGCGCCAUCCUGUGACGUUAACUGCAGAAGAAGGACCGGCUAACUCCGUG